AAGCUCCACACGAUUCACGGGUUUACUUUCAUCAAGAUUAUAAGACUCUUCCACCAAGCUGGCUAAGUUCUGCGCCAACGACACUCCAUGUUUCUUAUCCUCAACAUCGAUUGACUUGUCAACCAUAGGCACUAAGUUUUUAGAUACUUUGGGAUUAUUAUUCUUCUCCAGGUUCGAACAUUCUUGAACCCAAUUGACUUCUCAACCAUAGGCGCCAAGCUUUUAGAUACUUUGGGAUUAUUAUUCUUCUCCAGGUUCGAACAUUCUUGAACCAAACCGGCUAGGUCAUGAGCUAGUUUUACUU
rnacentral:lncRNA from 1 species